AGCGAACGCUGGCGGCAGGCCUAACACAUGCAAGUCGAACGAAGUCUUCGGACUUAGUGGCGGACGGGUGAGUAACACGUGGGAACGUGCCCUUAGGUUCGGAAUAACUCAGGGAAACUUGUGCUAAUACCGAAUGUGCCCUUCGGGGGAAAGAUUUAUCGCCUUUAGAGCGGCCCGCGUCUGAUUAGCUAGUUGGUGAGGUAAAGGCUCACCAAGGCUACGAUCAGUAGCUGGUCUGAGAGGAUGACCAGCCACAUUGGGACUGAGACACGGCCCAAACUCCUACGGGAGGCAGCAGUGGGGAAUCUUGCGCAAUGGGCGAAAGCUUGACGCAGCCAUGCCGCGUGGAUGAUGAAGGUCUUAGGAUUGUAAAAUCCUUUCACCGGUGAAGAUAAUGACUGUAGCCGGAGAAGAAGCCCCGGCUAACUUCGUGCCAGCCGCCGCCGUAAGAC
rnacentral:rRNA from 1 species